ensembl:lncRNA
GCAGGGGUCGGUGCUGCUGCAGUGGAGCAGGAGCUGAGUUUUCCAGCAGGAGCUGAGUGUUCCAGCAGGGGUCAGUGGUGCUGCAGCUGAGCAGGAGCUGAGUGUUCCAGCAGGGGUCGGUGGUGCUGCAGCUGAGCAGGAGCUGAGUGUUCCAGCAGGGGUCGGUGGUGCUGCAGUGGAGCAGGAGCUGAGUGUUCCAGCAGGGGUCGGUGGUGCUGCAGUGGCGCAGGGGCUGAGUGUUCCAGCAGGGGUCGGUGGUGCUGCAGCGGAGCAGGAGCUGAGUGUUCCAGCAGGGGUCGGUGGUGCUGCAGCUGAGCAGGAGCUGAGUGUUCCAGCAGGGGUCGGUGGUGCUGCAGUGGAGCAGGAGCUGAGUGUUCCAGCAGGAGCAAGAGCUGAGUGUUCCAGCAGGGGUCGGUGGUGCUGCAGCUGAGCAGGAGCUGAGUGUUCCAGCAGGGGGUGGUGGUGCUGAAGCGGAGCAGGAGCUGAGUGUUCCAGCAGGGUUUGGUGGUGCUGCAGUGGAGCAGGAGCUGAGUGUUCCAGCAGGGGUCGGUGGUGCUGCAGUGGAACAGGAGCUGAGUGUUCCAGCAGGGGUCGGUGGUGCUGCAGUGGAGCAGGAGCUGAGUGUUCCAGCAGGGGUCGGUGGUGCUGCAGUGGCGCAGGAGCUGAGUGUUCCAGCAGGAGCUGAUUGUUUCAGCAGGGGUCGGUGGUGCUGCAGCUGAGCUGAUAACAAAUCAAAGUUGAUUUGUCAUGUGCCCCCGAAUACAACAGGUGUAGACCUUACACUGGAAUGCUUACUUACAAGCCCUAACCAACGUUGCGAUUUUUAAGUAAAACAUAGGUUUUAGGUAAACAAUAGAUAAGUAAAGAAAGAAAACACAGAAAAUAACAGUAACAAAGCUUUUAUACAGGUGGUACUGGUACAGAGUCAAUGUGUG